rnacentral:rRNA from 1 species
UUCCGGUUGAUCCUGCCGGAGGUCAUUGCUAUUGGAGUCCGAUUUAGCCAUGCUAGUCGCACGAAUUAGAUUCGUGGCGAAAAGCUCAGUAACACGUGGCGAACCUACCCUAUGGAGUGCACCACCCGGGAAACUGGGCUAAUGGCACAUACCGCUCGAUGCCUGGAACUGGCUCGAGCCCCACACGCUCCGGCGCCAUAGGAUGGGGCUGCGGCCGAUUAGGUAGACGGUGGGGUAACGGCCCACCGUGCCGAUAAUCGGUACGGGUUGUGAGAGCAAGAGCCCGGAGACGGAAUCUGAGACAAGAUUCCGGGCCCUACGGGGCGCAGCAGGCGCGAAACCUUUACACUGCACGCCAGUGCGAUAAGGGGACUCCAAGUGCGAGGGCAUAUCGUCCUCGCUUUUCGCGACCGUAUGGAUUGGUGCAGAAAUA